rnacentral:lncRNA from 1 species
CACAGAAGAAGUCAAGGGCAUAUUAUUGGCUUAAGAGGAUUCAUAUUAGAGUAUAAGAUAUACAGGCAUGCAUGGGAUCACUGUGGAUACUUAGUUAAACAAGAAAACAAAGUACAUACCAUAGACACAUUUCAUUGCUUAUAGAUUCUUGAUCAGAAGUGUUAUCAGCCAAGUAUUACAUAGAGGUGAACAGAAGUGUAUAUUUUACUAUCUUCAUUAUAGGUUGAAUGUUCCAGAAUUCUCCUAGGCAGAUUCAAGAUUAUAAGAACAAGCCACAAAUAUUUCUAAGGCUUCAGCAUAGCUAAGAGCAGGUAUACAUCUCACUAAGACCUCACCACCUUAACAGUUAGGCUAUAAAGUCACAAUAUACUAACACUUUGAUAUGCAAACAGGUUCACUAACAACAUUUUGUACAUGAGUCUGUGUGUGUGUAGGUUAUUACAACAUCAUGGAUUAGUUUAACAGUUAAAAUUAUUUAAACAAGGACAGAUAAUUAGGGUCAGUUUCUUAAUAGGAUCAGUCACUAAACUCAAAUUAUUUCAUUACCACAGAAAGAUUAGGACUACUAUAGGUGAACACAUAGAUGCAAGGAUAAACCUCUUCAAGCUACUGUCAUAAAAUGCUCUAUGGGCACAACAAUACUAAUACAACAGGUGUGAACUCAGGUGUAGAAACUAAGAAGAGUCAUGACAACAAAGAGUUUCAUGCAGCAGGGCUCAAACAAUUAGUAAAUGGCAUUCAUUCCAGAGGUUAAUCACAUUCAGAUAUGAGAACAUGCCUUCUAACAUACUGAUAGAGUUUAUUGUAUGAUCUCUUUUGUUUCCAACUAUCAUAAGAAGCACACAAAAAUUAUUCUGUUAAAAUAGUAUGAACAUGGCACUGGCUAGAGUCCAGAUAAAAAUCAUCAAUGACGCAAUCAUGUUCCUAGAACUAAGGCAAAAAUAACACAACAUCUCAAACAUCAAGAUGGCUUGGUGUUAACAAGUUAACAGUGUACUCAAGAGGAGCUUAAGCGUCUGAUUUCACAGGGAAAUAGUUACUUGACUGACAUAUUACAUACAAUAUUGUUGAUAUAAGAUUUAAUUAAUCAUGAAGCUUCAAUAGAGUCUAAGAGUAACAACAAUAUACAGAUUACUAGAUAUGCAAAACAAGCAGGUUAUCACAUUUACCAACUGAGAUUGUUAGAGUAGAUAAGUUGAAUACAAGACAUGAAAUAUAGGGAAUCCACUUAUAAGACCAACAUUAUGUCACAAGUAGGCGGGUCAAAUCAUCUAGAGGUACAAAAACACAAAGAGAAGUUUAAGAGCAUGAUUUAAGUUAGCUUAGCUGUCCUAGUUUUAUUGUUCAACUAACAGAG